rnacentral:tRNA from 2 species
GGGGGUGUUGCUCAAUGGUAGAGCACUUGCUUAGCAUGUGUGAGGCCCUGGGUUCUACCCCAGCACCCCAU